GCAAAGUUUACACCAAGUAGGGGAGCAGGUGCCUUAAAGUCUGGCUUCGCCCCCAAAAGGUACUUCAGGGACAGCUAAAGAUGUAACAGAAGAAUCAGUGUCAGAAGAUGACAAAAGGAGGAACUAUGGUGGUGUAUACGUUGGUCUGCCAUCAGAGGCUACUACCAUGGCUCCCAGUCAGACAAAGACUGAACCUAAAG